rnacentral:rRNA from 1 species
CAGCAGCCGCGGGAAUACGUAGGGUGCAAGCGUUAAUCGGAAUUACUGGGCGUAAAGCGUGCGCAGGCGGUUAUAUAAGACAGAUGUGAAAUCCCCGGGCUUAACCUGGGAACUGCAUUUGUGACUGUAUAGCUAGAGUACGGCAGAGGGGGAUGGAAUUCCGCGUGUAGCAGUGAAAUGCGUAGAUAUGCGGAGGAACACCGAUGGCGAAGGCAAUCCCCUGGGCCUGUACUGACGCUCAUGCACGAAAGCGUGGGGAGCAAACAGGAUUGGAUACCCGAGUAGUCCCUGUCUCUUAUAC